CACACGUGACUGGAAGCAGUAAUAAACUGCCAGGAGCAUCCAACUACUCUCGGUUAUAAGCAUCUGAACAGAGAAAACGUUCAAGCCCUGCUAAGCGAUGCCUUCCAUUUCACUUCAUGAAACAGAUGAGCCCAGUAUGUCAAGUUCAGAAAGUCACCACGGCGGCCACGGGGAAGCUGGGACGUCCGGGAAUAAAGGCGAGCGCACACCGGCUUCGGGCUAUUUCCUGAUGUCAUGGUCAUGGGUGACGACAGGGGUGUUCCAUUAAAGUUAUUCCUGUUGCUCUUAA